AGAGUUUGAUCCUGGCUCAGGACGAACGCUGGCGGCGCGCCUAACACAUGCAAGUCGAACGAGCGAGAGAGAGCUUGCUUUCUCAAGCGAGUGGCGAACGGGUGAGUAACGCGUGAGGAACCUGCCUCAAAGAGGGGGACAACAGUUGGAAACGACUGCUAAUACCGCAUAAGCCCACGGCUCGGCAUCGAGCAGAGGGAAAAGGAGCAAUCCGCUUUGAGAUGGCCUCGCGUCCGAUUAGCUAGUUGGUGAGGUAACGGCCCACCAAGGCGACGAUCGGUAGCCGGACUGAGAGGUUGAACGGCCACAUUGGGACUGAGACACGGCCCAGACUCCUACGGGAGGCAGCAGUGGGGAAUAUUGCACAAUGGGGGAAACCCUGAUGCAGCGACGCCGCGUGGAGGAAGAAGGUCUUCGGAUUGUAAACUCCUGUUGUUGAGGAAGAUAAUGACGGUACUCAACAAGGAAGUGACGGCUAACUACGUGCCAGCAGCCGCGGUAAAACGUAGGUCACAAGCGUUGUCCGGAAUUACUGGGUGUAAAGGGAGCGCAGGCGGGAAGACAAGUUGGAAGUGAAAUCCAUGGGCUCAACCCAUGAACUGCUUUCAAAACUGUUUUUCUUGAGUAGUGCAGAGGUAGGCGGAAUUCCCGGUGUAGCGGUGGAAUGCGUAGAUAUCGGGAGGAACACCAGUGGCGAAGGCGGCCUACUGGGCACCAACUGACGCUGAGGCUCGAAAGUGUGGGUAGCAAACAGGAUUAGAUACCCUGGUAGUCCACACUGUAAACGAUGAUUACUAGGUGUUGGAGGAUUGACCCCUUCAGUGCCGCAGUUAACACAAUAAGUAAUCCACCUGGGGAGUACGACCGCAAGGUUGAAACUCAAAGGAAUUGACGGGGGCCCGCACAAGCAGUGGAGUAUGUGGUUUAAUUCGACGCAACGCGAAGAACCUUACCAAGUCUUGACAUCCUGCGACGCACAUAGAAAUAUGUGUUUCCUUCGGGACGCAGAGACAGGUGGUGCAUGGUUGUCGUCAGCUCGUGUCGUGAGAUGUUGGGUUAAGUCCCGCAACGAGCGCAACCCUUAUGGUCAGUUACUACGCAAGAGGACUCUGGCCAGACUGCCGUUGACAAAACGGAGGAAGGUGGGGAUGACGUCAAAUCAUCAUGCCCUUUAUGACUUGGGCUACACACGUACUACAAUGGCGUUAAACAAAGAGAAGCAAGACCGCGAGGUGGAGCAAGACUCAGAAACAACGUCCCAGUUCGGACUGCAGGCUGCAACUCGCCUGCACGAAGUCGGAAUUGCUAGUAAUCGCAGAUCAGCAUGCUGCGGUGAAUACGUUCCCGGGCCUUGUACACACCGCCCGUCACAC
rnacentral:rRNA from 1 species